rnacentral:tRNA from 1 species
GGGGCUGUAGCUCAGUGGCAGAGCGCUUGCCUAGCAUGUGUGAAGCACUGGGUUCAAUCCUCAGCACCA